UGUUCUUCCUAACCACUUAUUAUAACUUGUUUGACGUUUGUCUGUAAUACUCAUAAAAUAGAGACAUUUGAGUUAAGUUAGGGAGGGGAAACUUUUAACUGCUCAUUCAGUACACCAUCUCUUCACUUAACGCUAAUUAACAUUUCAUGAUGAAAGUUCAUGAAGGAGCUAGUUAAGAGGGUCCGAGUUGGGAGGCUUUCCUGAAAGAAAAUAAUUUUUGAAUAGCCUUUUUUGUUGUGUCCCAUAAGUGGAAAGAAG
rnacentral:lncRNA from 1 species